rnacentral:rRNA from 1 species
AGCGAACGUUUGCGGCGGGCCUAACACAUGCAAGUCGAACGCACUAGCAAUAGUGAGUGGCGCACGGGUGCGUAACACGUGGGUAAUCAACCCUUCAGCCUGGGAUAACGACUCGAAAGGGUCGCUAAUACCGGAUACGGCGCGAGAGGCUUCGGCUUCUCACGAGAAAGCCACGCAAGGGGGCACUGAAGGACGAGCCUGCGGCCCAUCAGCUAGUUGGUGAGGUAAGAGCUCACCAAGGCUAAGACGGGUAGCUGGUCUGAGAGGAUGAUCAGCCACACUGGAACUGAGACACGGUCCAGACUCCUACGGGAGGCAGCAGUGGGGAAUAUUGCGCAAUGGGCGAAAGCCUGACGCAGCCACGCCGCGUGAGCGAUGAAGGCCUUCGGGUCGUAAGGACUCUGUGGGAGGAGACGAAGAAAGACCUGUGAAGAGCAGGCCUUGACGGUAGUCUCCUUAGCAAGCACCGG